rnacentral:lncRNA from 10 species
GGACGCCCGGAACGGCCGACCGGGAGUCGCGGCUGGGGAUGGAAGCUGGAAUUGGGGGUGCGGGAUGGAGCGGAGAGAGGAGGCCCCGCGCGCCGUCGGCCGCCUCAUUUCAGACUCCCCUGCGACCCCCCCCCCGCCGCCAGCCGAAGCCCGGGCCGCCCAGCCCCUCCUGCCGCUGCGGGACGCCGAAGGUUGGGUUUCAGCCGAGCAAGUCUGAGGCCCCUUUCCCGCGCCCUCUGGUGGAAAGUGUUCGCUUUUCUGUCCACCCAUGUGAAGGAUUCACCCCGACCCUCCUCAGGUGGCCUUUACUUUGCAGGAGCAAAGCAAGACCCUGCACUUAAUGGAUCAGCUGGCACCACCCAGAUGGAUAAACUGGCUCAUGUGAUCUUGUGGCCCCCACCCAGGAACUGACUCAGUGCAAGAAGACAACUUCAAUUCCCUAUGAUUUAAUGUCCUACCGAAUCAAUCAGCACUCCUGACACACUGGCUUCCCCUCACCCACCAAAUUGUCCUUAAAACCUCUGAUCUCCAAAUGCUUGAGGAGACUGAUUUGAGUAAUAAUAAAACAAGGCUCCUGCACAGCCGGCUCUGCGCGAAUUACUCUUUCUCUACUGCAGUUCUCCUGUCAUGAUAAAUCGGCUCCAUCUAGGCAGCCAGCAAGGUGAACCCACUGGGUGGUUACAGGCCACGCUAAGUUCGGGAGAAAUUUAGUUUAUGGUUUAAAUGAUAACAGCCCUUCCCCAAAACUAAACUGCCCUGGUAAAACUAAUGAAAGGCCGCCAAGUUAGGAGGAUGACAGGGGCCUGAAUUCUACUGAGCCGUAAGCGUAAUUACCGGCCAUUAUUCCAGAGGACACAAGAUUUGCAACUUGCCUAAUUACUCCUGCAAAGAACAUCGCUACUGUAGCACCUGAGAAUGGCCUUUUGAGAUGUGUUUUCAGGCUUUUGCACUUCUGACAACUGAUGGCUGCACUUGGACUCGCCAGCCGGUCCCGCGUCCCCACCAGAAGCAGAGUAAGCACAAGAGGACAGCUCCGACUCCCUAGGAUUUCAGCUCUGACCAGUCGCACGCCUGGCUCACUGGCUUCCCCACACCCACCAAGUUGUUCUUAAAAACUCUGCUGCCCGAAUGCUCAGGGAGAGUGAUUUGAGUAAUAAUGAAACUGUUGUCUCCUGCACAGUCGGCUCUGCGUGAAUUACUCUUUCUCUAUUGCAAUUCCGCUCUCUUGAGAAAUCGGCUCUGUCCAGGCAGCAGCAAGGUGAAGCCACUGGGCGGUUACACUGAUAUGAUUCCCCCUUUGCAGUUUUUACUCUCUUGGUGCUGCAAACAGUUCCUCACUGAGGACCCUUGUACACGUAUCACUGUGAGCAUGAAUCCGAAUUUCUUUAGGAGACAUACAUACUAGUGGGUAUGUGCAUGUUAUGUAAUUUCUCUUAGCACUGUUUCCUCACUCAUCAAAUAAGGAUCAAGUAGUUCUCACCACACAGGGUUAUUUUAGAAAUAAUUUAGUAUACAUAAUAUACAAUGCAAUAACAAGUACUGAUGUCUACUUCUUUUAGGUUAUAUGAUAAUACCUUAUACAUAGUACAUGUGUGAUUAUAUAUAUUGCAAUGUAGAGUACGAUCUAUAAUUUACAGAACUGUUGUUUAUAUAUAACAAAUGCUGUCCUUGCGAUAGUUUGCUCAGAAUGAUGGUUUAUGUAUACAUAUGUAACAAACCUGCACGUUGUGCACACGUACCCUAGAACUUAAAGUAUAAUUUUAAAAAAUGCUAUAAUUCAUGUGGUGAUUAUUAUCUACCAGUUACAUCAUCGAUAGAAUGAGGACGUUGUUAACGGUACACGCCAGACAGGAUGGCUGUGAGGAUCUGUGAUAAUAAGAAUUAGAUAUUUGGUCUUUGUCCCUGUUUCCUGAUGGAGGCUUCUAAACCCCUUGGAAUUCCCUGACUGAUAGGGGCAAGAGGAAAUCUUUUGUUAUUCCUAACGAGCCCCUUUCAUCCAUGCCUGUGUUUAUGCUAAUGAGGUGACUCCUGGAGGAUGAGGGCUGGUUGCCAGGGGAAUCAACUUUGCCUUGCAACUUUCAGCUCCAGUCCGUGACUUCCAGGGAAAGAACAGGGGCUGGAGAUUGAGUUUAAUCGCCAAUGACCAGUGAUUUGAUCAUUCAUGCUUAAAUAAUGGAACCAUAAGAAACCUAAAGAAAAGGUUUGGAGAGCUGCUGGGUUCAGGAGCACAUUCGUGUGCUGGGAGGGUGUUGUGCCUGGUGAAGGUGUGGAAGCGCUGACUCUGCCUCGCAUACCUUGUCCUGUCUGUGUCUUUCAUCUGGCUGUUGCUGAGUUGUGCUGUUUAUAAUAAUAAACUGGUAACAGGAAGUAAAGCACUUUCCUG